ACGGAGGGUGCAAGCGUUAUUCGGAAUCAUUGGGUGUAAAGCGCGUGUAGGCGGCUUAGUAAGUCAGAUGUGAAAGCUCCGGGCUUAACUCGGAAAGUGCAUUUGAAACUGCUAGGCUUGAGUCCGGGAGAGGAAGGUGGAAUUCCCAGUGUAGAGGUGAAAUUCGUAGAUAUUGGGAGGAACACCGGUGGCGAAGGCGACCUUCUGGACCGAGACUGACGCUGAGACGCGAAAGCGUGGGGAGCAAACAG
rnacentral:rRNA from 1 species